GAAGCAGGCCAGGCGGUCGCUGCGCGACCCUUCGGGGACACGCAGAGGAAAGUCGGGACACCAUCGGGCAGCGUAGCGGGUAACUCCCGUCCGCCGUGAGGCGAGGAUCAGAGCAACAGAGACGAGUCUUUUGGGACUCGCAGCGGCUUGCCGCUACGAGCCCAAAAGGGUGAAACGGGCAAUCUCUACGCGGUGCAACACCAAAUAGGCAGACGUCGACGUGGCCCACUGAGUCUGCGGGUAGGUGGCUUGAGCCGUGCGGCAACGCACGGCCUUAGAGGAAUGACCGUCAUAGCCCGCAAGGGCCGUAACAGAAUCCCGCUUACCGGCCUGCUUCACUU
rnacentral:RNase_P_RNA from 2 species